rnacentral:rRNA from 1 species
AUUGAACGCUGGCGGCAGGCCUAACACAUGCAAGUCGAGCGGUAGCACAGAGAGCUUGCCCUCGGGUGACGAGCGGCGGACGGGUGAGUAAUGUCUGGGAAACUGCCUGAUGGAGGGGGAUAACUACUGGAAACGGUAGCUAAUACCGCAUAACGUCGCAAGACCAAAGUGGGGGACCUUCGGGCCUCAUGCCAUCAGAUGUGCCCAGAUGGGAUUAGCUGGUAGGUGGGGUAACGGCUCACCUAGGCGACGAUCCCUAGCUGGUCUGAGAGGCUGACCGGCCACACUGGAACUGAGAAACGGUCCAGACUCCUACGGGAGGCAGCAGUGGGGAAUAUUGCACAAUGGGCGCAAGCCUGAUGCAGCCAUGCCGCGUGUGUGAAGAAGGCCUUCGGGUUGUAAAGCACUUUCAGCGGGGAGGAAGGCAUUAAGGUUAAUAACCUUAGUGAUUGACGUUACCCGCAGAAGAAGCACCGGCUAACUCCGUGCCAGCAGCCGCGGUAAUAC